rnacentral:rRNA from 1 species
AUUGAACGCUGGCGGCAGGCCUAACACAUGCAAGUCGAACGAGUGGCGGACGGGUGAGUAAUGUCUGGGAAACUGCCUGAUGGAGGGGGAUAACUACUGGAAACGGUAGCUAAUACCGCAUACCAUCAGAUGUGCCCAGAUGGGUUUAGCUCGUUGGUGGGGUAACGGCUCACCAAGGCGACGAUCCCUAGCUGGUCUGAGAGGAUUACCAGCCACACUGGAACGUAGACACGGUCCAGACUCCUACGGGAGGCAGCAGUGGGGAAUGUGGCACAAUGGGCGGAAGCCUGAUGCGGCCAUGCCGCGUGUAUGGAGAAGGCCUUGGGGUAGUAAAGGUCUUUCGGCGGGAAGGCGUUACCCGCAGAAGAAGCACCGGCUAACUCCGUGCCAGCCGCCGCGGUAAUUC